GACGAACGCUGGCGGCGUGCUUAACACAUGCAAGUCGAACGGAAAGGCCCUGCUUUUGUGGGGUGCUCGAGUGGCGAACGGGUGAGUAACACGUGAGUAACCUGCCCUUGACUUUGGGAUAACUUCAGGAAACUGGGGCUAAUACCGGAUAGGAGCUCCUGCUGCAUGGUGUGGGUUGGAAAGUUUCGGCGGUUGGGGAUGGACUCGCGGCUUAUCAGCUUGUUGGUGGGGUAGUGGCUUACCAAGGCUUUGACGGGUAGCCGGCCUGAGAGGGUGACCGGCCACAUGGGGCCUGAGAUACGGACCAGUAUCGAACGGGAGGCAGCAGGGGGGAGUCUUGCACAAUGGGCGGGAGCCUGAUGCAGCAACGCCGCGUGCGGGAUGACGGCCUUCGGGUUGUAAACCGCUUUCGCCUGUGACGAAGCGUGAGUGACGGUAAUGGGUAAAGAAGCACCGGCUAACUACGUG
rnacentral:rRNA from 1 species